AGAGUCAAACAGUACGUGAAAUUGUUAUAAGGGAAACGAUUGAAAUCAGUGGUGCUGCUAUGAAAUCAGCUUAUUAGUGCUUUGAGUUAGUAGUUUGUGAGACCUAGUCCGCAGCUGUUAGCAAGAGGUAUAUAUGAGUGCACUUUUGUAGUAAGCUGGUCAACGUCAGUUUCGGUUGAUGGACAAGACUUGUAAGAAGGUGGCUUGCCUUUCGGGGUGAGUGUUAUAGCUUACUUGGAAUACAUUGACUGGGACUGAGGGCUGCAGUGUGACCCUUUGGGGAUGGCUCUACUUGGACCGUUUGGCUUUAGUUGAGUAGACAGCUUGCUGACUGCUAGAGUAAAGUUGGACAUGCUUCAAUCAUAGAGACUAACACACUAAGGAUGUUGACAAAAUGGUUUUAAACGACC
rnacentral:rRNA from 1 species